UACGUAGGAGGCGAGCGUUGUCCGGAUUUACUGGGCGUAAAGCGCGCGCAGGCGGCAUACUAAGUACGGAGUGAAAUCUCCCUGCUCAACGGGGAGGGAGCUUUGUAAACUGGUAAGCUAGAGGACGGUAGAGGGGGGUAGAAUUGCUGGUGUAGCGGUGAAAUGCGUAGAGAUCAGCAGGAAUACCCGUGGCGAAGGCGGCCCCCUGGGCCGAACCUGACGCUGAGGCGCGAAGGCUAGGGGAGCGAACGGG
rnacentral:rRNA from 1 species